rnacentral:rRNA from 1 species
GGGGGGCAAGCGUUGUUCGGAAUUACUGGGCGUAAAGGGCGCGCAGGCGGCCUGGCCAGUCCUACGUGAAAUCCCACAGCUCAACUGUGGAACUGCGUGGGAUACUGCCAGGCUUGAGUCCGGGAGAGGAGAGUGGAAUUCCCAGUGUAGCGGUGAAAUGCGUAGAUAUUGGGAGGAACACCGGUGGCGAAGGCGGCUCUCUGGACCGGCACUGACGCUGAGGCGCGAAAGCUAGGGGAGCAAACGGGGGAUUAGAUACCCCGGUAGUCCUAGCCCUAAAUGAUGAGCACUUUGUGUGGCGGGUAUGACCCCUGCCGUGCAGAAGCUAACCGCAUUAAGUGCUCCGCCUGGGAGUACGGUCGCAAGGCUG